GUCAAGCAGCGUGUGUUUACUUUUUCGGAUACUUCAUCAGACAGGGACAAAUGGCAGGAUAUCCUGAGUCGCUCAGCCAGAUGACAGGACGUGCCAGGCAGGCAGGAAACAAUCUGUCUGCAGCCAAUUGUGCCCCAGAGUCUCAUUCUCAUCCACCCAACUGGCCGGCCACAUUGCCACCUCGCCACCCUGCUCUGGCGUCCCAUCUCAAACUUCCCCUAAUGACUGAGAAAAAGAAAUAGAUUUGUUUUCACCUGUUUAACCAAUAACAUAAACAAAAGAAAAUCAAAGAUGCUGGAAUGUG